UGCGUAGGCGGAUUUAUAAGUCAGUGGUGAAAUCCUACAGCUUAACUGUAGAACUGCCAUUGAUACUGUAGAUCUUGAGUACGGUUGAGGUGGGCGGAAUGUGUCAUGUAGCGGUGAAGUGCUUAGAUAUGACACAGAACACCAAUUGCGAAGGCAGCUCGCUAAACCGUAACUGACGCUGAGGCACGAAAGCGUGGGGAGCGAACAGGAUUAGAUACCCUGGUAGUCC
rnacentral:rRNA from 1 species